UGCAUCCUUUAUUUUUUAUAC
rnacentral:piRNA from 1 species